GAUGGCCAUUGCUAUACAUGCAGUCGAGCGGACAGAUGGGAGCUUGCUCCCUGAUGUUAGCGGCGGACGGGUGAGUAACACGUGGGUAACCUGCCUGUAAGACUGGGAUAACUCCGGGAAACCGGGGCUAAUACCGGAUGGUUGUUUGAACCGCAUGGUUCAAACAUAAAAGGUGGCUUCGGCUACCACUUACAGAUGGACCCGCGGCGCAUUAGCUAGUUGGUGAGGUAAUGGCUCACCAAGGCAACGAUGCGUAGCCGACCUGAGAGGGUGAUCGGCCACACUGGGACUGAGACACGGCCCAGACUCCUACGGGAGGCAGCAGUAGGGAAUCUUCCGCAAUGGACGAAAGUCUGACGGAGCAACGCCGCGUGAGUGAUGAAGGUUUUCGGAUCGUAAAGCUCUGUUGUUAGGGAAGAACAAGUACCGUUCGAAUAGGGCGGUACCUUGACGGUACCUAACCAGAAAGCCACGGCUAACUACGUGCCAGCAGCCGCGGUAAUACGUAGGUGGCAAGCGUUGUCCGGAAUUAUUGGGCGUAAAGGGCUCGCAGGCGGUUUCUUAAGUCUGAUGUGAAAGCCCCCGGCUCAACCGGGGAGGGUCAUUGGAAACUGGGGAACUUGAGUGCAGAAGAGGAGAGUGGAAUUCCACGUGUAGCGGUGAAAUGCGUAGAGAUGUGGAGGAACACCAGUGGCGAAGGCGACUCUCUGGUCUGUAACUGACGCUGAGGAGCGAAAGCGUGGGGAGCGAACAGGAUUAGAUACCCUGGUAGUCCACGCCGUAAACGAUGAGUGCUAAGUGUUAGGGGGUUUCCGCCCCUUAGUGCUGCAGCUAACGCAUUAAGCACUCCGCCUGGGGAGUACGGUCGCAAGACUGAAACUCAAAGGAAUUGACGGGGGC
rnacentral:rRNA from 1 species